AAACAUCACCUGCGCCAUCUGCUGAGGAAGGAGCUGUGACAAUGGCACAGGUCCUGGAGAUGAUGCGUGCGCUGCAGGACAAUGUCGCAGCGUCGAGAGCUGAACAAGAGAAGAUGCAGGCGGAGUUGGCUGCAUCGCAGAGUAGGAAUGAUGAGCUGAAUCGCGUUAAUGAGGAGCUGAGAAGGACGUUACAGACGCAGAAGGAACGCGCAGUUGGAGAAGG
rnacentral:lncRNA from 1 species